UGAUUGUGUCAAGUCAGUGGAAACCUGGGCAGUGACACAGAGAGGAGUGAGCAGGAGGGAGCCACAUCCAGAGAGAUGGAGAGAAAGCCGUUACCAUAGCAACCGAAUAAGAGAGAAGAUGGUGUUUCUGUUCGACCCAGACGGUGGAGGUCAUGCAGAUUUUUUGUUGUUGACCAGCUGCCAUUAAAAGGAGGAGGAGGAAGAACACAUUAUUAGGAAAAGAUGUGAAAACGAAGGAUAGAUGAAUUCAGAGAGUGGAGGCCAAUAACAACUGAAGAUGAAGACCAGAGAUCAACCCUAGGCUGGAAUACUAAUCCCCAGUUCAG